UACGGAGGGUGCGAGCGUUAAUCGGAAUUACUGGGCGUAAAGCGCACGCAGGCGGUCUGUCAAGUCGGAUGUGAAAGCCCCGGGCUCAACCUGGGAACGGCAUCCGGAACUGUCAGGCUAGAGUGCAGGAGAGGAAGGUAGAAUUCCCGGUGUAGCGGUGAAAUGCGUAGAGAUCUGGAGGAAUACCGGUGGCGAAGGCGGCCCCCUGGACAAAGACUGACGCUCAGGUGCGAAAGCGUGGGGAGCAAACUCG
rnacentral:misc_RNA from 1 species